GGAGGCAGGGCCAAUAGGCUGCAGAGGCAGGGAGGGUUAGGAGAAAUAGGAUCUUUGCUCUCUCUCUCUCUCUAGAUUCAAUGUUCAGUUUUAUUCAGUUCGGUAAGAUCCAGAAUUUCCUACACAAAGUCAACAGAACCAGCAUGAUCAACAAGAGUGUGCAGGCCUGGAAACUGAGCCAAGCCUGGCUGGUCGAGGUCGGGACAAAGCAGACUUGAUGAGCGGAGUGAGGAAAGGCACCAGAGGGGUUCUAUGACGAAGGGGUUUGCGUGCAACGAAGGAUCAGUGUCUCUCCAGUAACAUAUGAAGACCAGCUGAGACAAACCUCAAAUGACCUCUAACAGCAUGCCUCCUUCUGAUGGUGAGACCCGAGAAAAUUGGAUGGCUAUGCCAGCUAUUCUGAAACCCUCAAGAUGUCAGUCAUUCUGUAUGGAAACCACCAACCCUCUUUAACCCUCAUAGGACACCUGACUGACACUCGAGAAUUUGAGGGCAGGGAGACAUGUGACCUAAUGCUGCACAAGGCAUGGCAAUCAGCUGGCACCUUUCUAUAUCUUAUUUGAGACGACACGGCUGUUGACACAUAUGCAGACAAAAUCCUUUUUGCAACAACAUGCCCAACAUAGGCCCACGUGUGGAGAGAAUGUGUGUUUUUAUGGACAUUUUCAGCGUAUUAAAAGUUGGUUAUGACAUUGUACUCACCAAAGUAAUUUGUAAGAUCUUCUAACAUCAUGACAUAGAUAUAAGAAAGCCCAUGACAACAAGGCAACAAACAUAAGCGGACAGAAAACAGGAAAAAGGUUGUAAACAAGCCAACAGCUUAUUCGGUUUAUCUAAAAAACCUUUCUGAGGUAAAACUGAACAUAAGCACACUAGUAAUGUCAGUAAUAAUCCCUCACUGUACAAAAUUGCGUACAAAAAAAGUACGCUAGGUGAAAUUUGAGCCAAGAAGCUGGUCUAUAAACUGUGAUGGAUGUUUGUAAUAUGUUCAAUAUGGUCAAUUUAGGUCAUCAUUUUACAAUUCAGUCUUUGUUUUCAAAAUAAGUUUGACUCACUCAGUGGGUUGUUUAAAACCUAUUGUCUGACUGCUCAUGUUUCUUGUGAUGUUACAUGUUCCCAGAUCUUAAUUAACUUACAAACAUUAGAAAACAAUUACCAAGUGUUAUAGUAAAUAACCAAAUGUUGCAUAAUCUGAUAUUUCCCUGUCAUUCUAAACUUCAUAAAAGUCACUAACUCUGAAUUAUAUCUUGUGUGCAGAUAUGCAUGAAACAAAAGGUGAUUAAGUUUAAUAUAUUUUUUGUAUUGUGUUUUUGUAAGUUCCAAGCAAUGCUACAGCAAUUUUAUUUUAACAUUGUUAAUUGCUUUUGAUUGGAUCAUGCAAAAGAUAUUUCCUUUUUACACUUUACUAAAGUCUUAACUAAGACAUUGCUUAACUUUUAUUCGUGCAACCAGACUAAGAAAAUCACUAAAUGAAACUAGCUAGAAGUAUAACUUAUGAAAGGCCUAACACACAAAAUUAGUGAUGGAUUUACGAAAAGCUGGUGUAACCCAAUCCAGAUGUCAAGCUCAUUUAACAUCAAGUUAUGUCAUGGCAUAAAUGCACAAGGAGACAUAGGCACAUAUUUAUAUAGUUUAAAUGUAUGGCAAUUAAACAUAAGCAACACAUUCUCACUCCCAACUUGCCACACUUGGUCAAGACCACUGGUGUUGCUUUUAAUGCCCUUUGUACUCCUUUAGCGUCAUUUUUCGACAUUUAAGGCUCUGCGUUCAAGUUAGCAACACUUUACAACAAUAAUUAUGCAACAUCCAGUGAAAUUAGCAACAAUAAAUAUGCAAUGUCUGGUUAGACUUUCAAAAUAAAAUGUUAACGCUGCGAAACAUCGCCAUUUUGAAACAGCACAUUGUUAAAGUUGUGAAAAGUAGAGAAAAUUUGUAAAUUGGUUAGGUUUAGACACCAAAUGUGCUUGGUUAGGUCUAGGAAAAAAUCAUGGUUUGGGUUACAAUAACUACAUACAUCAGUUAACACGCAAGUUAAGCAACGUUGCAUGCUAAUUAAUUUUGACUUUUUGUUUAACAAGGGAAACGAACACCAGUCACCUGGUUGAAAGUCCGGUUUCUGGCCCUCCAUCCACCCCAACUACCUCCUUACUCAGUCUUUUCUGUUACACUCGCACUCUCCAAUUUGGUCACAUAUCUUAUGCUUAUUCACCUUCAGCUUAGUGACAACAAAUAAUCAUAUGCAAAUAUCAAAAUCAAUGCAAUAACAGCACCAAUAAGAGCAAGAAUAACAGAGAGGUCCAAAGGACAAAGAGAGUAAAGGAGUGGCAUUGACAUACUGUUUAAGCGUGUCUUUCCAUUACAAUGUAGUAAUGAGCUAAGCUCUUAUGCAACACAUUUCCAGUGUUGAAAUAGACUUACACAUCCCUCCCUACCUUUCUCUCCCUCUCCACAUCUCUAUCUCUCUCUGAGGGUCUGAGCAGCCGCCAACUCAUCAAUCACCAACUACAAAGAAAAGACAAAAAAAAUUCCUGGAAAGGAGCAAAGGACAGAAGAGUGCAUCAUUUUGAAGGCAGUUGUGUAACUCUUUCAGGUGUAUAUCAGGGCUGAGCUGUCAGAAUAACAGAAAAUAAAGAAAUUAUAAUAAAUGUUAAUUACUUUGUUUGUAAUUAAUAAAUGAGAUGCAUGUUAACUCAAACAAAUUGUCCUGAAAUGAAACAUAUGGAAAUUAUUUUACUUAAAUUAGAAUAUACAUUUUACAUCUGCCAAACAGGUCUGAGACUUUCUUUCUAGGAGUGCCAUUCCAUUGUGUCUGGAAAUUUGCUAUGCCUUGUGCGUAGAUGGGCAAAGUUAGUGGUUGACAAUGAAUAUCUGUAUUGAAUUUCAUGGCAUCCAAUAAUGUGGAGGCAAUCUACUGGUGAUCCUGUUAUCCCUAGUAUCACUUUUUGUCUGUAGACUGUGUGUCUAUCUACUGAAAGCCUUUAAUGUAGGUUCUCAAACAUCCUGGGUGUAUCUUGAUAUCAACAUCCUCACCUCUAACAGGGGCAAAACAUUUUAAUUCAUUUAGUUGACUUUAGCUGACUCCCUUAAAAACUAAAUUUCCUUCACACAAAUCCUGUGAGUAUCAACACACCUUCAAUGGAUAUCACAGAUGUUCUGGUACAAUGCAAAACACCUGAUCAGCAGAUGCAAUCUUUCAUAAAGAUCUUUAAUAAUUUACAGUCAGAUGAUUCUCUGCACUGUCUUCACCUUUGGUUAAUGCACUGACUUCUGGCCAUAAUUAAAAAGUCUGAAAACAA